rnacentral:rRNA from 1 species
AGUGAACGCUGGCGGUAGGCCUAACACAUGCAAGUCGAACGGCAGCACAGUAAGAGCUUGCUCUUACGGGUGGCGAGUGGCGGACGGGUGAGGAAUACAUCGGAAUCUACUUUUUCGUGGGGGAUAACGUAGGGAAACUUACGCUAAUACCGCAUACGACCUACGGGUGAAAGCAGGGGAUCUUCGGACCUUGCGCGAUUGAAUGAGCCGAUGUCGGCUUAGCUAGUUGGCGGGGUAAAGGCCCACCAAGGCGACGAUCCGUAGCUGGUCUGAGAGGAUGAUCCGCCACACUGGAACUGAGACACGGUCCAGACUCCUACGGGAGGCAGCAGUGGGGAAUAUUGGACAAUGGGCGCAAGCCUGAUCCAGCCAUACCGCGUGGGUGAAGAAGGCCUUCGGGUGGUAAAGCCCUUUUGUUGGGAAAGAAAAGCAGCAGGUUAAUACCCCGCUGUUCUGACGGUACCCAAAGAAUAAGCACCGGCUAACUUCGUG